GCUCGAAUGGUGGAAUAGGUAGACACGGCGGUCUCAAACACCGCUCCGAAAGGGUAUGGGUUCGAGUCCCAUUUUGAGUA
rnacentral:tRNA from 1 species